ACACAGCAGGUGCAACUACAACAGAACACUACAUUGCGAGUAUAAUGAGUAUAAUGAGAGUCAGGUGGAAACAGCCUGAGGCUUCACCUGAAACCUGUAGCCUGCUAAUGUAUUCUCUACAGGUGGAGGACCCAGGACUAACAACCGAUACAACCAAAAUGGCGGCAGUAGAGCUGAAGGGAGACGCCAGAAGGCUGCAACAGUCCAUGAACGUUCCUGAUGGUGACGGAAGAUACACGACCAUUUUCCUUGGACCAGAGAUAAUGCUGAAAUGAGCUUCAGUGAAUGAAUGGAUAAAGAAAAUGUGAUAUAUUUACAAACUGGAACAUUAUACAGCCUUUAAAAAGAAGAAAAUGUCAUUCACGAUAACAUGGGUGGAGCUGGAGGCAUUAUGAUUGUAAGUCAAGCUGCAACAGGAAUUCUCAAGAUGAAGCUUGCCUUUCAAAGACUACAUUCACGUGUGUGAGAAAUUUGUGAAGAUGCCACUUGAGUAUUUGAGCUGAUUGCAUUCCAAAUGGAUACAGGAGGAGGAUUAUAAAGCAGAAAUCCUCAACUAAGGUGGGAAGAGAAGGUGUGAUGCUCCCCAAGAGAAUUUUGUAAGUAAGUGAAACUAUGUUUUGGUUUUUACAAUGAGGGAAAUAGAUCAACUGGUAUUUAGUGAUUUGAAGCCAGGGAUGCUGACUAUUUAGCAGUGCACAGCACAGAGGUGCACAAUAAAAGAUUAGCCCAAAUGCCCAUACUGCCUUCACUGAUAAAGACUAACAGACUGAAUCCUAGGCACCUUAGAAGGCACAAUAGAGAAAAUAUGGUUGGAGAGAGGAAUUUUGCUCUAGAUGUACAAAUCACAACUUGUAGCACAAUUUAUAUUUUCCAUAUGUAAAACAUCUCUCCUGACUGCUUCAGAAGCAAAACUAAUUUAACUUUGUCAACAAAUAAUCUCUGGUUUCACUGCUAGACCAACAGCCAAAUAGGCUUAAGAAUAAUGGUUUUAACUGAUGCAAUGGCUUUUAGGAAAAUCAAAGCAUAUGUGUGCAGAGGGUGUGUUGAGUGCUUGGGGGGAAGAUUUAUCUUUGUAAUUAUAUUUUCCUUUGCCUAACCUUAAAACUAUUUUGAAUAUACUAGCACACACGGAUUAAUAAAAAAAAACACACUCCAGAAAUAUUUAGGAAUUGAUGGAAGUGAGCAUAGUAUUAAAAACUCUCCAUAAAGUCCUAGAAAAGUCAUGAAUACUUGAUAUUAUGCAUAUAGUAUAUUAAUUUACUUAGUAACAUAGUCUUUUAUUAUGUUUAACAGCAGGUCACAACAUCUCUUUCCUUGUAAAUGAAAAAUGUUGGUAUUUCAUAAAGGCUUUUUAUAAAAAUUUUAGGCUUUUACAAAAUGUGUUUAAAAUUUACCCUUUAAUGACGCAAGUUCAUAGAAUCUUUGACUUUCUGGUCAGUAGUUAUUAUAUCAAUAUAUCUAAAAUAUAAAAGUACAUAAGAAGCAUUUAUAUGAAGCUCCAAAAAGACAAAUCUAUAGAGACAAAAAAUAGGCUAGUGUUUGUACGGGACUGGGUUUAUGGUGGAUAGAAGAUUGAGAGCAAGUGCUCAUGGGUAUCAUUUUUGGGGGCAAAAAUAUUCUAAUAUUGAUUAUGAUAAUGGUUGUGAAUAUACUGAAAAUCACUGAACUGUAUGGUUUAAAUGAGUAAUUUUAUAUUUUGUAAAUUAUAAUUCAAUAAAGCUGUUUUUAAAAGUUGAUAAGAAAAAUUGAACUAAGCAUCGAUAUAAUACUUUGGUGUCGAGAUGGGCAACAGUACUGUGGUCCAAGUGCAGCCACAGCCUGGAAGGUCCAUUCUGGAACUGCUGCUCAGCAGAGAUCUUAUUUGCCUUCCAGAUUAUUUUUGCUGAUGAUAUUCUGGUUUCAUUAAAACACUUCUAGAAGAAACCAUGAAUAUCUACACCCUAUGCAGCCUUCAUGGACUAGAGCUGGCAACUCUUUGAGAAUGUGGAUAAGUGCAUGUUCUUGCUGCCACGGAACUCUGGGCAGUUUGCUUUUAACACCUUUGCUGGCAGCUUCCAGAAUUCCCAGUUUAUCUGGUGUGCAGCAGCAGGAUGGCAGAAUCCAGAGCCAUGAUAGGAGAAUAGUCCAGGCACCUGCUGGGCGGGGAGCAUCAGGCGAAUCAAAAUUGCCCAGUGCUGAGAUCAAUCCUCCAGAUGCUGAUCAACACAUCGUAUCUCUCAUCACCAUUCCCAACCUUGCCUGGGACCCAUGGAAUCCAUCCCUCAGAAUCCAAAAUACCGCAGGGGUGGGAGUACGGAAUGGAGGAUUGAGGGACUGAAGGGUGUGGUGGAAUGAGGGCAAUGAGGUUAACCCCUUUACAGGCAGCUCUGUAAUCAGUUUUAAACCAGCUGCAGGUUUAGUGAGAAUCUAGGCCCUUCCCACCAUCUAAGUACCAGACAUCCUGCUGGGUCCAACACUUGAAGGGAAUGGUGACAGCAGUUACACUGUUCCUGCCUCUCCCUGAUGGCUCCACUGUACCUGGCUGGAGCCAAUCAUGGCUCCCCAGCUACCAAAAUGUCCUCAGUGGAAGUUCCUCCUCUAGGUGGCCAAGGUACUCUCCAGUCAUGCAAGAGCACCCCAACCUCUUUCAAUGGCCUGAUGGGAUCCUGACCUGCCCUAGAUCCCAGUGAGGUCCCACCCCAUGCCUGGCCUGAAGGAUGCUGGGAAAAUGCUUAUCUUUUCCGUGGAUGCCCUGGUCCUAUAAUCAACAUGGCUGCCAUCUGAACUGAGUGGGCCCUGGCCUCCUAGCCAUGUGUUGAGAUCUUCACAGGUGGCAGUACCCUUGAAAUGAAAGCCAAGGAGACCCAACCACCUCUAAAGUCCUUUGUCAUACUGCCCUUGCUCAUUUCUGGCCUUGGCAUGCUUAACUCCUUUGGGAGAGCUCCCAUUGCUUAAGUUUGGUUCCAGCCUCAGAGGUGGAGAUAGGGAGGGACUGGCAAUGGUCUCUUUGCUUGGCCCACCGUACUUAUUCUCUGGCCUGUACGACUGUAACCUCUUCUAAAUUGUCAACAGUGGAAGAGUUUUUAUACGUUUGGAUUUUCGUAGCUUUAAGACAAAAGGAUAUUUUAGCUCAAUUUUAGGUUUAUGAUUUGUGUAACAUAGAUACAGAAUAAGAGACAAAUUUCUCCUAUUUUCUUAUUAGUAUUUUGCAAUACAAUUAAUAUGGUUUGGCUGUGUCCCCACCCAAAUCUCACCUUCAAUUAUAGUUCCUAUAAUCCCCACUUGUGGUGGGAGGGAAUCGGUAGGAGGUAAUCAAAUCAUGGGGCAGUUUUCCCAUUCUAUUCUCCUGAUAGUAAGUUCUCUUGAGAUCUGAUGGUUUUAUAAGGGACUUCCCCCUUUGCUCAGCUCUCAUUCUGCUGCCAUGUGAAGAACGAUGUGUUUGCUUCCCCUUUCCCCAUGAUUGUAAGCUUUCUGAGGUCUCCUCAGCUACGGUGAACUGUGAGUCAAUUAAACCUCUUUUCUUUAUAAAUUACCCAGUCUCAGGUAUAUCUUAUUGAUUAGCAGUGUGAGAACAGACUAAUACAGAAAUCACAUGUACUUAAACUAAAUUUACAGAAUAGUCAUUUUAACCAUAAUUAUGUGAGACCUGCUAAGUGUUUAUUUUUUAAAUAAAAAAGGAAAGUUUUAUUUGCUUGUUUCUUUGUUUUCAAACUGGACAAAUUAAUCCUAAAUAUUGUUUGUAAGAAUUGGUAUGCAAAACACCAAGAUAUUUUUGGGAAACAAACAAAGGGUACUUAACAAUGGAUAUCAAAAACUAUAAGUAUGGAUUUUAAGAGUCUAUAAUAAAUAUAAUA